ensembl:lncRNA
UACUUAGUGAUAGCUUCAUUUGGAGUUUUCCAGAGAGCUCUUAUUGUUGGAAUGGGGGAGAGAUGAUGCAGUACGUAUGUGUCGAGAGCUAUCAAAAGGGGCGUCAGGGCCUUGGGACAAUUACUAAAGGAACUGAAUGCACAGACCAUCUUUUCUUCUCUGCCUCCUGUUUUGGGUCUACUGACGUCCGUGGAAAUUCCAGAUGCAGAAUGAAUACUGAACAUAGCCUGUUGUCAUUUUGGAGAGUAACAAAAUAUAACAUGGGCAUUUGUGAAGUGUUUCUAGAUGCAACGGUUGCAAAACACAUCAUACUUGUUGACUGGUUCUCUCAGGAACUUCGUAACCUUCCAGUAAUUUUUCUGUGAAAAAUUGAGGAAUAUAACUGUGUCCUGGCUUCCAGUAGGCAAUUCCAUUACAUAAAAUGGCUUUCGGAUGUAGCUAACCAUGGAAUAUGGGACAUUUGAAGGACUUUAUAGAUCACGUCUGUUGGUUUGCAGCUACAAGCAGCUGUAGAGUUCCAUGUAGGUGAACAUGUAUGAUGAUAAGGACUACUGAGUGAAGAGAUUACAAAGGGAAUGGAAGGUUUAAAAGCAUUUACAGUGUAUAUGGAUGGAGGGAGACUGAUCUUGAGCUGGAAGAAGGAACAUCUCAAGUGCUGUUGAGAUGAUGUGGUACGUUUGGAGUUCUAAUACUAGAAGCAAAUACUAUAGCUGCAAGAAAGAAAGCAACGCAACCCCAUGAUAACAUAGCAGAGAGGCUAUCAUGGUGUGUAGGUGGAAAGUAUCAGAGAAUCUUGGUGAUUUUGUUUUUCAAAAACAUUAUCUAGUUAUGGUGAUUAUCCUUGAAUAGACAAUGUCCUGAGGAACUUGCUGUAUGAGACCCUGUGUGAAAAAGCUAGAUGAGCUAAAGAGGUCCAUCCCAAACUCAAUGGUUCUAUGAUCCUGUGAAUCUAUCCUUUUGAUUGUGAUAAAUUAUGAUUACAUAAGUUGACUAUGAUUAGCAAGGCAUAUGCAAUAAUUUAGUGCUUACAGACAUGUUUAAUAGGGGGUGUAUAUAUAGGUUUGUUGGGCACAGAAUCCUGAAGAGGAUCCAUGAUGUCCCAGCAGAUCAGCAUAGCACUGGCACCUCUAGAAAUGUUAACAGGGACACAUCGACAAAAAGGUGAGCUGCCAAAAGAGCUAGUGAAGCUGGUGAGCUGAAAUUGAAGGGAGGUUCUUCAAGGCUAUGGGAUCCUAUGGUCUCUAGAGUUGGGGGUGGAACACUUCCCUACUGUUUGCAUUCCAGAGGAGUUUCAGUACUUUGUUGCUGAGAGUUUCCUAUGUGAGGCACUAGGCUGACUUCUCUAUUUGCUUGGAGUGAAUCCCUCCUUUCUCCUCCAAAUGCAGAAAUGCGAUGAUGAUGGGAAUGAGGCAAUAUGUAAAUGCCAAAACAAUUUUGUUCACAUCCAAGUCAAAAUUAGCUUAAUCUAACUACCCACUGACUGUGUCUCAUUGAAGGUAAGAUGAUGUGAGUACUCAAAUGUCAAAUUAAUAGACAUCUAAGUGUUUUGAUUUGGCACUUUUUAAUAAUUUAUGCCAGCUUUUUCAUUCCAGAUCCCUAGUUUUUUUUUUUAAUACUCAGUUCGUUCUUUUCUACGGGCAGCUCUUUUGUCUUCAAAGUAUCCAUUGACAGAGAGCUGUUGGCUUAGCCAAAUUUAGGGAGUUCAGCAGCUGCACUCAGCUAAGUCACUUUGGUGUCAUCUUAAAUUCUUUAUUAGAUAAUAAAUUAUCUUUCUAUUUCACUUUUCUUUUAGUAAGAAGGGAAUUCUUCCAUUAGAUCUACUGGGGACUCUCAAAGAAAUUAGCCAAAACUAGUCAUAGGUCUGUAUUUAAGUAAAAGUUAAAGCAUAUGUGCUUUUAGAAGGUCUUGAGAGCAUAGUAGGCAUACACAUCACAUCUGCAUUCCAAGAGAAGUAUAUGAUUUUGAAACCUAGAUCAUGUGGUAGCAUGAGAUUUUAAAAUAUGGAAAAAAAAUCUUCCUACUGAGAAGUCCUCUAAUAAGGGCUUUGAGUUAUUCUAAGAAAAAAAAAUCUGAUAAUUUUUAAAAUGAUCUCUCAAGUUCUCCAAUCUGGAACAUUGUGGUCUGUUUGUCAUUAAUUACAGCAAAUUCAGUCUCCAGCAUUACUAUGUUUUUUCCUGCUUUUUGAGAAUUAUAUCAUCAUCAUCUCUUUAACAUUUCUUCCACUUUUCUGUAUGUUCUAAUCACUGAGCAAUUAAGAACUGAAAUGUUCCUUUGCAAACAAAGCUCACUAUGUAUCAGGCAUGACUAUGGCGACUUCUCACUCAGGGACAAGCUGUGGUUGUGAUCAUAAGUUCUACUAUCAGAUCUCAGUCUUGAGAACCAGACUCCCAGGGGAUAUUUUAGUUUACUAUCAUUCUUUAAAGAUUUGUGCUGUUCUGCUUCUGCUGAUGAUACAGUUAGAUGAUCACAACAUUAUGUCACCUCCUUGGAGGACAUUGAAAUGGGUAUAAUACAAAGCAAGUUGUGAGCUGUCUUCCUAAAUUAUUCUAUAACUUUCACAGGGUACUACUAUUUUACAUCUGCAGUUUGUAUGCAGAGAAAGUUGCAAAUGCAGAUGUACUAAAGUUACUACAGAUACAAGAAAAAUAUUGCUUUCAGCUCAAGGAUUAAAUGAAGAAAUAACUGCCUGCUAAAGGAUUCAUUUUACUGCCUGGUUGUGUGAAUAAGUAUCUAGAUGAGUAUAACACUUUCAUUGUGCUUCACUAUGAAAGUAUUUUUCCAGAACAAAUUAAAUUAGAAAGAUAUAGAAUUAUGCAAUAUGCUUACACCAAGCACAAUACAAUGUUCUCUGACUGUAGGUAGUGGAAAAAAAAUAUUUUUAAUUUUUUUUCUUGUGUUUAAAAAUGCACUUCUCAGGUGUUUCUUAGCUCCUUGAACAUAGUUUCCUUGAGCCUUAGCCAAGUCACAGUUACAUAAACAACAAUUAUCCUGUUCUGCCUCAAAGUGGGUAUUAUAAAGUGUUCCUCUAAAUCUGCUAAACUUCUAUAGUUAAAAUUUGUUUGAAACCAGAAAGGAACCCUUUACAAAGUUGCUGAAAUGAAAAGGCCCAGAUUCAAUAUUUCCUAACGGCAAUGCAGACUUCUAUUGCAUCUCUGAACUUUACAUCCUAUCUUUGGGACUACAGCCUGUAACAAGCUGAAGAAAAACUUUUCCUCCUAAUAGAGUUUCAUUAAUGUCUCCAUAGCUUCAUAAGGUUAAAAAUGUGCUUGCUAAUUUGCUGGAUUAGAAUCUCCAACCAUCAGAAUUUUGUGUUAGGAAUACAUACUAUAUCAGUGCUUUGAAAUACUACACUGUACCCUGGUAUUGCAUAAAUCUUAAAAUAAAUAAAUAAAAUUAUCAAAACUGGGACAUUGUGGAAGUUGGGUAACAAUUCGAUAUUGCAAGACAAAGAACAUGCUUUUUCAGCUUUAUGAUAAGAUGUUAUGUGGAAGUGAUUUAACAGGAGUCAUGUAAUGUCAUGGCAGGUCAUAUAGGCAGUAUGAGGCCUCUUGCCAAAAUGUUCCACAGGUCUACUGGUGCAACUCUUGUAAUAUUGUUCAAUGCAGCUGCCUACAUCUGUUUGCUGGAUACAGCUGAACUCUCAGAUUUAAUGAAAACACUGCAGAUUGUGAUUGAAGUUCCCUUCAUGGCCCUCUUUCCCCCAUUUCUAUGGCAUCUAAGCAAAGAGAACACAAAUUUUAAGUUAUCUUGAAACAUCCCAUACCUGUUUUAAAGGAUGAUUACUUUUUUCUGACAGGAUUAUAUAUUAAAGCAUCGCACACAUUAUUCAAAUCACAUUAUAAAAAUAAGCAUAUGAGAAAACUUGCUAGUACUAUCGUAGUCCUAAAAAUAAAGCAAGGAGGCAGUCAUGACAAUGGGACU